GUGUUUGAGAGACUUUUAUUAUGUAAAUAUCAGCCGGGACUGUGAAGAAAAGCUUUGGCAAGUCAACUUACAAAUGUUAUUGGUAAAUGUGAGAGGCGCUGCGUGAUUUUUCUUCCUACAGUAAAACUGUGAUGUGACCGAAGUAACUGUAACUGCCCAGAACUGACGCUCGCCGUCAAAAUUAAGUGCGCCAAAUCAAUUUACAGGAGAACCUCCAUCCACAUGCAUAACAAACAAUGGACUCUAAUGGAGCAGCGUGAGAUGAGAUGAAGUCUGUCUUUUACGCAGUGAAAUCCGAGCAGAGCCAGAAUCAGAUAAAUGAACUCCAGUGAAGCAUCAGCUCAGCCUCAUGUCGUUUCUGGACUGCACCUGUAUCUCCUCCCACUCACAAGUCCAGCCCAUCAGCAUAGAGGAGCAGUAUGAAGACAUCAGCCGGCAGUGCUCGGUCAGUAGAAUCUAACAAUAGAGCCCAGUGUGAGCUUCAGUGUGUUUGAAGGUAACAGGCAUUGACUUUUGUCUUCUUCAGACGAGCCAUUCAAGAGAGAUUCACACUGACACCGAUUCAAUUACUGCACUACUGUGGGCCGUUAGCGGGAUUGAGGAAAAAUUCAGAAUUUAGGAGCUAGUUC
rnacentral:lncRNA from 1 species